rnacentral:tRNA from 1 species
GUAGAGGUGGCUCAGUGGUUAAGAGCACUGGCUGCUCUUCCAGAGGACCUGAGUUCAAUUCCCAGCAACCACA